rnacentral:rRNA from 1 species
AUCUUCACAAUGGACGAAAGUCUGAUGGAGCAACGCCGCGUGAGUGAAGAAGGUUUUCGGAUCGUAAAACUCUGUUGUUGGAGAAGAACGUAUUUGAUAGUAACUGAUCAGGUAGUGACGGUAUCCAACCAGAAAGCCACGGCUAACUACGUGCCAGCAGCCGCGGUAAUACGUAGGUGGCAAGCGUUGUCCGGAUUUAUUGGGCGUAAAGCGAGCGCAGGCGGUUUCUUAAGUCUGAUGUGAAAGCCUUCGGCUCAACCGAAGAAGUGCAUCGGAAACUGGGAAACUUGAGUGCAGAAGAGGACAGUGGAACUCCAUGUGUAGCGGUGAAAUGCGUAGAUAUAUGGAAGAACACCAGUGGCGAAGGCGGCUGUCUGGUCUGUAACUGACGCUGAGGCUCGAAAGCAUGGGUAGCAAACAGGAUUAGAUACCCUGGUAGUCCAUGCCGUAAACGAUGAGUGCUAGGUGUUGGAGGGUUUCCGCCCUUCAGUGCCGCAGCUAACGCAUUAAGCACUCCGCCUGGGGAGUACGACCGCAAGGUUGAAACUCAAAGGAAUUGACGGGGCCCCCCC